CCGCCCACCUCCAGCCAUGUAGAACUGAGUUCCUACCAUAUUUUAUUUGCAAGCCAUUUCUCCCACAUUAUUCUGGAAGGCUGAAGCCUGUCGAUGCAUCCAAAAAUAGAUCUGUCCUGGAUCUUUUCUCACAAGUCAGCCAGCUGUCAAGACACCUGAGAUGUGAUUCUUUCACAUGGCAGAGCCUCUCGUCAAAACAUGAACUGAGCUUCCUCUUAUCUUAUGGACAGCUGAUGCGUGGAGGUGGAUUUAUGAAUUGGCCUCAUGCUGCACUCAAGCAGUUUGGCCAGGACUCAAUGCUCAUUGCCAAGAUGAAAAUCAGCAAACUAGCAGUUUGCUUUUAUGAUGUUCUCCAGCCUGCAACCAAGACACUUAUCCUGGCCACUUCUUCAGCUCUGACAUAAGGUUGUGCUGAUAUAAAUGCAAACCCAGCUCUAUGUCUACCAAACACCUAUAUGGCUAGGACUGCAAAUGGAGCAUUUAAGCACCAGGCAAGAGGUCUUCCCAGUUUCCAACCAGACUUUGUAGAAUUUCCCCAAAAUACUGACUUAGCCUCUUUCAGACCCUAUCUCCCAAAGAGAAUCAGAGAGGGGCUCUGGAAGCCAUUUAGACUGUCUGGCCUCUUCCCUAGUGAAAAUGGACUUGGAUACAAAAAGGCAACCUACUGACCUCAAAGAUACCAGCCCAGAUACUGAGCAUGGACCUCCUGCCUCCCCAGGACAGACGUCAUCUAAGCCAGAUCAAAGCCCACACUGUUCCUCCAUGUGCACCUUUCAGACAUGUUCCUGAACAGCCCUCUAGAAUUGUCUGGAGAUGGGACAAGAGGUGAUGGAGCUCCAGGUUCAGAAUGGCUGCCUCAUCCCUCCCUCCUGAAAAGUCUAUACCUGCUGAUUAGAGCUCUCACACCUUAAGGGGCUUAGCCCUCCCCAAGCAGACACGUGGCGGGGUGCAGUGGCUCACGCCUGCAAUCCCAGCACUUUGGGAGGCCGAGGCGGGCGGAUCACCCGAGGUCUGCCCAACGUAGUGAAACCUCGUCUCUACUAAAAAUACAAAAAAUUAGCUGGGCGUGGUGGUGCAUGCCUGUAAUCCCAGCUGCUGGGGAGACUGAGGCAGGAGAAUCGCUCGAACCUGGGAGGCAGAGGUUGCAGUGAGCCGAGAUCCGCGGCACUGUACUCCAGCCUUGGCAACAGAGCAAGACUCUGUCUCAAAAAAUAAAAAU
rnacentral:lncRNA from 10 species